rfam:Brassica oleracea var. oleracea cultivar TO1000 chromosome C9, whole genome shotgun sequence
UCGAGGAAUGAUGUACUAUUACAGGGCUCUUAAGAUGCUUGCUUUUCUCGACUCUGCGUCUGAAAUGGACAUUCGG